rnacentral:lncRNA from 1 species
GGGGCUCAAGAUGACAUCACAGAGCAGAUGGAGAUGGUGUGGCAAUAGAUCAAGGUGCCGAUCAUUAUCCCGCUGCUCUGCCUCACCCUGUUCCUCCCCCACAACCCCCAGUUGCUUUCCAUCUUCCCUCCCUCUCUCCAACGAACCCCCUUCUUUCUUGCUUUCCUCUCAUCCUCAUAUUCCAUGGCCUCACUGCCACCGACGAAGAC